ensembl:lncRNA
AAAUUUUACUAGAUUCCAUGGACACAUCAGCAAUCCUGCAGUAUGCGUAUUCACAUAGCAGCAUAGGAAUGCUUAUUAGAGAAAUCCAGGUUAAUGGUGGGUAAUAGCUGCAGUGAGCAUAUACUAAAUGAGAUUUUAGGAACUUUAAAUGACGUUACUGAAUUUUGUUUCUUACAAUAUUUUGCUCAUCCUUCUACAUUUGGAUCCUGUAUAAUAGCCUAUGAGAAGCUGAAAGAGAGCACAUCAAGGAUUACUUUUAAGACCCUCAAAGCAGUAAUAAGAGUUCAAUAAACUUCAGGCUAGCAAAAUGCAGUUUCACUGACAGUUGUAUUAUGAGGAUGGAUGAUACCAUUUGUUGUGUUUUUCCUUUCACACCUGCCUUCACUUUCAGGCCAGAAGCUGAUCCACAGUGCAGCAUGAAACAACAAUCAUUCUUACUUCAGAAUGAGAUCCAGCUUGAGGCUUCUCUACAAAAUUCUCCAAUGCGAGCUACCCCCCUCAUCACUGAGGCAAUCCUGUGCUGUUAUAUUUCCAAGCAAAGGAAAGAAGAAAAAUAUCUGCUGAAAGCUGUGAAGCAUGUUGGAAGUUUUAGACAAGGUUAAAGUGAAAGGAGGCCCGAUAUUUCCUGAACCUUCCUGCGCUUCUCCAAGAGAACCAUCUUCCCCAGCCUUGUCUUCUCUCUCACUACAGAACCUGAAGCCUUCAGCGAAGAGGUAGGUAUGCUGCAGGGCACACAGCACUUUCUUUUAUAACUAACAAUACCAAUAUUAAUUGUGCUGUAAAUGGUAUGUUAAUCUAAGUAUGUAAUGGGGAAAUGAUAAACUUAAGCAACAAUGAUCCAUAAAUCAUACUCAAAGAGUAGAAAAGCUAAAGUCCUGGUUAUCCUGUUAAGAGAAAGAAAGAUUUUACAGAUAUCACCAUCAAUUAAAUCCAGUUGCUGAAAAUGUACGGCAGCCAUCCAUCGUUACAUCCAAUGACCUUUAAAAGAGCUUUGCUUGCGUCCUCUCUAAAGAAUUGUGAGGAAAGAUGUAGAAAGCUGUUCUUAAAAGUACUUAAAGUUACUAUGUGGCAUCUCUGUACCGUGAAGGUCCGCAGUCCUUGUUACAGAAUUUAUGGAUAUGCUUCUCUCAGGACAUGACUUGAAAGGAGAAUCUCAACAUUCAUAUUCCUGCUGGUAGACCUCACCACUGGGCUGUAAUGUCUCACUUCUAACUUUUCUCAUUUUCUAGUCCAAUACAUAGUGAGGUAGAUAAAAUAGAAGCUUGAAAUAACAGGGAAAAAGCAGCCCAGCAACAGAGUAGGUAAUAGCUAUGUCACUUAUUCUGUGGUAUAUUCAAGGCUGCUCUCCAUUUGUUGAGGAAGACUAACUGCUGACCUUGUGUAGGUUGCAGCAAUGGUAAUAGUCUCUCUUCCUUAAACCAAGUAUUGUGAAGGAUCUCACCUGUAGUCAUGGGAAUCAUUCUCUACAGAGACAUGCUGAAGUGCUUAUCAUUGCCAAGGUUCAUGCAGAUCUUUGAGCAUUAGUUAAAUAUAUAUUUAUAUAUAUUAAAAUCACAUCUUUUAAUAAGUCUUAUUUAACAAGAAAAGUAGAAAGAGUUUGUAAU